AAGACAAAAACAAAACAAAAACAACAACAACAACGUGAAGAUGAAAAUAUUGAUCUGUCCUUGUCCUCCUCCUCUCUUCUUUUUUUUUUGGUUUUUGUGUCGUCGACUCUAUUUUGGCACAACAUUAUGGCGUCGGGGAGGAGGGACUGUGGUGAU
rnacentral:ribozyme from 1 species